GCAAACUUGGUCAUUUAGAGGAAGUAAAAGUCGUAACAAGGUUUCCGUAGGUGAACCUGCGGAAGGAUCAUUCAUAAUAGAGUGUUUUAUGGCACUCUAAAAAAAAAUCCAUAUCCACCUUGUGUGAAAUGUUAAUCCUUGUCGUUUGACGAGGUUUUUUAUAUCAACUCUUUAUUAUUAUUAUUAAUUAUUAUCUGUAAAACGUUAUGAAUUUACUUAAUUCAAAACACAACUUUCAACAACGGAUCUCUUGGCUCUCGCAUCGAUGAAGAACGCAGC
rnacentral:misc_RNA from 1 species